UACAGGGGGUGCAAACGUUGCUCGGAAUCAUUGGGCGUAAAGAGCUCGUAGGCGGCCUGUUGCGUCCGCUGUGAAAGCCCGGGGCUUAACCCCGGGUCGCAGUGGAUACGGGCAGGCUAGAGGUAGGUAGGGGAGAAUGGAAUUCCCGGUGGUAGCGGUGAAAUGCGCAGAUAUCGGGAGGAACACCGGUGGCGAAGGCGGUUCUCUGGGCCUUACCUGACGCUGAGGAGCGAAAGCGUGGGGAGCGAACAGG
rnacentral:rRNA from 1 species